rnacentral:rRNA from 1 species
AGUGAACGCUGGCGGUAGGCCUAACACAUGCAAGUCGAACGGCAGCACAGUAAGAGCUUGCUCUUACGGGUGGCGAGUGGCGGACGGGUGAGGAAUACAUCGGAAUCUACUUUUUCGUGGGGGAUAACGUAGGGAAACUUACGCUAAUACCGCAUACGACCUACGGGUGAAAGCAGGGGAUCUUCUGACCUUGCGCGAUUGAAUGAGCCGAUGUCGGAUUAGCUAGUUGGCGGGGUAAAGGCCCACCAAGGCGGCGAUCCGUAGCUGGUCUGAGAGGAUGGUCGGCCACACUGGAACUGAGACACGGACCAGACUCCUACGGGAGGCAGCAGUGGGGAAUAUUAGACAGUGGGCGCAAGCCUGACCCAGCCAUACCGCGUGGGUGAAGAAGGCCUUCGGGUUGUAAAGCCCUUUUGUGGGGAAAGAAAAGCAGCAGGUUAAUACCCCGCUGUUCUGACGGUACCCAAAGAAUAAGCACCGGCUAACUUCGUG